rnacentral:rRNA from 1 species
ACGCACGCUGGCGGCGUGCCUCAUACAUGCCAGUCGAACGCUUCUUUCCUCCCGAGUGCUUGCACUCAAUUGGAAAGAGGAGUGGCGGACGGGUGAGUAACACGUGGGUAACCUACCCAUCAGAGGGGGAUAACACUUGGAAACAGGUGCUAAUACCGCAUAACAGUUUAUGCCGCAUGGCAUAAGAGUGAAAGGCGCUUUCGGGUGUCGCUGAUGGAUGGACCCGCGGUGCAUUAGCUAGUUGGUGAGGUAACGGCUCACCAAGGCCACGAUGCAUAGCCGACCUGAGAGGGUGAUCGGCCACACUGGGACUGAGACACGGCCCAGACUCCUACGGGAGGCAGCAGUAGGGAAUCUUCGGCAAUGGACGAAAGUCUGACCGAGCAACGCCGCGUGAGUGAAGAAGGUUUUCGGAUCGUAAAACUCUGUUGUUAGAGAAGAACAAGGACGUUAGUAACUGAACGUCCCCUGACGGUAUCUAACCAGAAAGCCACGGCUAACUACGUG